rnacentral:misc_RNA from 1 species
UACGGAGGGUGCAAACGUUAAUCGGAAUUACUGGGCGUAAAGCGCGUGUAGGUGGUCCGCCAAGUGGGAUGUGAAAGCCCGGAGCUUAACUUCGGAACUGCAUUCCAAACUGGUGGACUAGAGUGCGAUAGAGGGAGGUAGAAUUCAGAGUGUAGCGGUGAAAUGCGUAGAUAUUCUGAGGAAUACCAGUGGCGAAGGCGGCCUCCUGGAUUGACACUGACACUGAGACGCGAAAGCGUGGGGAGCAAACAGG